UCUUGGGAGCACUGACAGGAGCAGGUAGGAGGCCGGUGGUAGGAGGCCGGUGGUGUGGUCUCGGGAGCACUGACAGGAGCAGAUAGGAGGCUGGUGGUGUGGUCUCGGGAGCACUAACAGGAGCAGAUAGGAGGCUGGUGGUAGGAGGCCGGUGGUGUGGUCUCGGGAGCACUGACAGGAGCAGAUAGGAGGCUGGUGGUGUGGUCACAGG